AGUCAUCUGGCUCAGUUGGUAGAGCAUGGUGUUUGCAACGCCAGGGUUGUGGGCUCGAUUCCCACGGGGGACCA
rnacentral:tRNA from 1 species